ensembl:lncRNA
AAUUAUCUGUCUCAGUACAUCUGGCAGCCUAUGACUAUCUCCUCUGCUCCCUGCCUGGCUCUGGUAGAGCAGCAGGAGUAGAGGCAAAUCCCAUAUCCUGGGCUCUUCCUGAACAGAAAACGUUCCAGAAAGGGAAGACCGGCAGAAAGAUAUGUUUCCCUUGAAGAACACCAAGUUGUAACUGCAGCUUAUGAAGUACCUUUCCACCUUCUGCCAUUUUGGAAAACCUUUUCCCUUGCAUCAUCUUCAGCCCACGUGAGUGCGAUACGAGAGAUGAGACAGUUCAACGUACAGCAUUAAAAGAAGUCAACUGCAAGUAAUGUUGUUGAUGACUCAUCUCUGGUUCCUCAUUAGCCCAAUUAUGAUAUGUGAUUUUCCUCAAUAUUGUCCACCUGUCCUCCCCCUGCCCACCCAUACAACUAGAACUCAAAUGCUUAUAAUGCUCAAUCUUAAUAUUAUGAAUCCUAACAUAAAUCUAUAAACUAUAAUAGCUCAGAAAUUACAUAUAUAGGUGUCUUUUUGAGCCUAACUCAUUAGUGAUAAGACUUUGAAGGAAAGAAGCAACCAAAUACCUUGAUUCUGGUAGAAAAAUCACAGAGAAUGGUACAUUCUACAUGCACAAACACAUGACUUAUUCUAUCAGUCUCAAAGAAAUACUGUCACAGGCUGCUCCCAAGUGUAAGUGUUAUACAAAAGGCUGGAUUCACUCUCCCUUUUCCAUAGAUUUAGCAAAUGUGAUUGCAGAUAUUCAACACAUUUUUGUAGUACAUUUGCCUACAGAUUGCAUGUACAGUAAGUGGCACAUCUUGGUGAUGUCGAAGAACUCCAGAUAUUGAUCAGAAUUACCUCUCCUCUGCUGCAGGACAAGGAUCAGCAUCAUCUGAAGAAAAAACAUUAAGAAAAGGUCCUCAGAUAUGAUGCAGCAUCCCUGCUGGUGUCUGUGCUCAAAACUCACUUUCUGCCCUAGGGUUAUUGUGUCACAAUUCCAAGACAGGUAUGACAUCCCAAAAAUCCCUUGUUUAGGUUUUGUGAGAAGAAAUGGAAUUACACCCUUAAGUUUAAUAUUUUCUCCUUGUAUAUUUUUCAUUAUUACAUUUGUAUGUUUCUUUUCCUUUUCCUUUCUUUUCCUUUCCUUUCUUUUCUUUUCUCUUUUCUUUUCUUUUCCGUUUUCUUUUCUUUGCUUUUCUUCUCUUUGCUUUGCUUUUCUUCUCUUUGCUUUCCUUUUUCCUUUUUCCUUUCUUUUCCCUAUUCCUGUUUCCUUUUCUCCUAUUAUUUUUACUUACUACAUUUGGAAAUUAUUUUAUUUGUUACCCUGUUAAUCCUUUUUCAUCAAUUCAUUCCUACAUCGCACCAUUUUUCUCCUUGAAAAAGCUUUGUAAUUUAAAAACACACAGACACAUGAGUUUUGUGCAGUGCAAGGCAAUGGCAGACUUCUCCUUGAUUACUUGCCUGAAUGGUGUCAGUAAAGAAAAAACAGAUGUCAGAGGCACAGCUCUUAAAGGCCAAACAGGCUAAAUUAAAGGAAAAUGAAAAGAUGUUGAGGCAAAUUCACUCAUUCUUCAAACAAACUCAUAUUCUCUAUCUAAGUU